rnacentral:rRNA from 1 species
GAUGAACGCUGGCGGCGUGCCUAACACAUGCAAGUCGAGCGAGGGUUUGCUCAGUAUUGAGUAUUCUAAAACUAGAAUGUUCAAUUCUGAGCAAAACCAAGCGGCGGACGGGUGAGUAACGCGUGGGUAACCUGCCCUAUACACAUGGAUAACAUACUGAAAAGUUUACUAAUACAUGAUAAUAUAUAUUUGCGGCAUCGCAGAUAUAUCAAAGUGUUAGCGGUAUAGGAUGGACCCGCGUCUGAUUAGCUAGUUGGUGAGAUAACUGCCUACCAAGGCGACGAUCAGUAGCCGACCUGAGAGGGUGAUCGGCCACAUUGGAACUGAGACACGGUCCAAACUCCUACGGGAGGCAGCAGUGGGGAAUAUUGCACAAUGGGCGAAAGCCUGAUGCAGCAACGCCGCGUGAACGAUGAAGGUCUUCGGAUCGUAAAGUUCUGUUGCAGGGGAAGAUAAUGACGGUA